AACGAACGCUGGCGGCAGGCUUAACACAUGCAAGUCGAGCGCCCCGCAAGGGGAGCGGCAGACGGGUGAGUAACGCGUGGGAACGUACCCUUUGCUACGGAAUAGCUCCGGGAAACUGGAAUUAAUACCGUAUGUGCCCUACGGGGGAAAGGUUUAUCGGCAAAGGAUCGGCCCGCGUUGGAUUAGCUAGUUGGUGGGGUAAUGGCCUACCAAGGCGACGAUCCAUAGCUGGUCUGAGAGGAUGAUCAGCCACAUUGGGGCUGAGGCACGGCCCAAACGCCUACGGGCGGCAGCAGUGGGGAAUAGUGGACAAUGGGCGCAAGCCUGAUCCAGCCAUGCCGCGUGAGUGAUGAAGGCCUUAGGGUUGUAAAGCUCUUUCACCGGAGAAGAUAAUGACGGUAUCCGGAGAAGAAGCCCCGGCUAACUUCGUGCCAGCAGCCGCCGUAAAAC
rnacentral:rRNA from 1 species